rnacentral:rRNA from 1 species
GACGAACGCUGGCGGCGUGCUUAACACAUGCAAGUCGAACGGAAAGGCCCUGCUUUUGUGGGGUGCUCGAGUGGCGAACGGGUGAGGAACACGUGAGUAACCUGCCCUUGACUUUGGGAUAACUUCAGGAAACUGGGGCUAAUACCGGAUAGGAGCUCCUGCUGCAUGGUGGGGGUGGGAAAGUUUCGGCGGUUGGGGAUGGACUCGCGGCUUAUCAGCGUGUUGGUGGGGUAGUGGCGUACGAAGGCUUUGACGGGUAGCCGGCCGGAGAGGGUGACCGGCCACCUGGUGACUGCGUUGCGGCCCAGGCUCCUACGGGAGGCAGCCGUGCGGACUCUGGCACUGUGGGCGGCUCCCAGAUGCAGUGACGCCGCGUGCGGGAUGCCGGCCUUCGGUUUGUAACCAGCUGUCGACUGUGACGAAGCCCGCGUGACGGUAGUGGGUACAGAAGCAUCGGCUCACCACGUG